rnacentral:rRNA from 1 species
GCGCGUAACCUUUACAAUGCACGCAAGUGUGAUAGGGGAAUUCCAAGUGCUUAUGCUUAGCAUAGGCUUUUGUUAAGAUUAAAACUCUUAGCGAAUAAGUGGUGGGAAAGACUGGUGCCAGCCGCCGCGGUAACACCAGCGCCACGAGUGGCAAUCGCGUUUAUUGGGCCUAAAGCGUUCGUAGCCGGUUUGGCAAAUCUUUUGUGAAAGCGUCAAGCUUAACUUGACGAAUUGCAGAAGACACUACCAAACUAGGGACCGGGAGGAGUCAGAAGUAUUCUGGGGGGACCGGUAAAAUGGUAUAAUCCCCUGAGGACUACCGAUGGCGAAGGCAUCUGACUAGAACGGAUCCGACGGUCAGGAACGAAAGCUAGGGGAGCAAACCGGACUAGAUACCCGAGUAGUCCUAGCCGUAAACGCUGCGAGUUAGGUGUUGCACAAACUACGGGUUUGUGCAGUGUCGAAAGGAAGCUGUUAAACUCGCCGCCUGGGAAGUACGGUCGCAAGACUGAAACUUUAAGGAAUUGA